rnacentral:rRNA from 1 species
AAAAGGCUCACCUAGGCGACGAUCCGUAGCGGGGUCUGAGAGGAUGAUCCGCCACACUGGGACUGGAGACACGGCCCAGACUCCUACGGGAGGCAGCAGUGGGGAAUUUUGGACAAUGGGCGCAAGCCUGAUCCAGCCAUGCCGCGUGAGUGAAGAAGGCCUUCGGGGUUGUAAAGCUCUUUCGGCCGGGAAGAAAUCGUGUUCUCUAACAUAGGACAUGGAUGACGGUACCGGACUAAGAAGCACCGGCUAACUACGUGCCAGCAGCCGCGGUAAUACGUAGGGUGCGAGCGUUAAUCGGAAUUACUGGGCGUAAAGCGUGCGCAGGCGGUUUUGUAAGACAGAUGUGAAAUCCCCGGGGCUUAACCUGGGAACUGCGUUUGUGACUGCAAGGCUAGAGUACGGCAGAGGGGGGUGGAAUUCCUGGUGUAGCAGUGAAAUGCGUAGAGAUCAGGAGGAACACCGAUGGCGAAGGCACGCCCCCUCCGGGCCUGGUACUCGUACGGCCUCAUGCGACGAAAGCGUGGGGAGC